CGGGCGAUGUGUGCACAUUUCAGAGCCGAAUUCAGAAUGCUUAUAUAUUUUAUCUUACUUUCAAGUCCUCCUUUAAAACUUUAUUUCAAACAAUUGUUCCGUAGUUAUAAUUUAAUAAUUGUAACCCAUCCUCUCCUUCUUAUUAACUGCACCUCGAUCUGACGUAUAAACUUAUAAGAGUUUAUUUGCUAACUGUUUUUUUCUAAAAAGUUACCUGACGACGACGGUAUACAAGUUGAGUGCAAAAAAAGGUUAGGUUUAACGUGGAUUAUCGGUUAUGAGACAGGUUCCCCUGAGAGGUCUAAAAUACCGCCAAGCCCUUUAAGUUUUAAAUACGUAAUUCAUAGUACUUUGGUAAAUAAAAAAAUCACUUUAUAUCCAAGAAUAAUGGGGUAUCUAAUCCCAGUUUCCCUCAAGGUUUUCACAGCUUCAAUAUUUUAAGUCUAGAUUGAAUUUCUUAUCAAUGAUCAAAUUUCACUUUUUUAUUAAUAUUUUAUAGACUUUACCUAAUUUAACUGUUUUUUCACCGUAGAUAUAUGAUUUGAUCGUCUUGGUUUAACCGCGGCUGC
rnacentral:rRNA from 1 species